rnacentral:rRNA from 1 species
CUUGGUGACUAUUGCGGAGCGAAACAGACCCGAUCCCAUCCCGAACUCGGCCGUCAAACGCUCCAGCGUCGAUGAUACUGCGUCCUAAGGCGCGGGAAAGUAGAUCGUCGCCAGGC